CCGGCUAAUUUUUUGUAUUUUUGGUAGAGACGGGGUUUCACCAUGUUAGCCAGGAUGGUCUCGAUCUCCUGACUUUGUGAUCCGCCCUCCUCGACCUCCCAAAGUGCUGGGAUUACAGGCUUGAGCCACUGCGCCCGGCCAUUAACUCUUAACCUUCCCUCAUCUGGCCUAGGAAUGAUGAUGGCGCCCGCUGACACUAGACCCCAGUUAUACCCUCCUGUGUGGGUUCCCUACACCCUGCCCACACCUUUGUAAACAAUUCCUUUACUAAACUCUCCUCAAAUUAUCCCAAUUAUAUAUGUGCCAUGUGUUUCCUGCUGAGCCCUGACUGAUAGAUAAACCACGUGGUUCUUUGUUCAAACAAAAUUGUAUGCAAAAACUAAGCAGAUAGAACAGAUCGGAGCAGAGUUCCUGCAUCCAUUCACAUGGAUUUAUUAAGUGUCAGCCCCUAGCCAGAGUCCCUGGGCUGGGACUGAGGACACACUAGUGAGUGAGAACAGUGAGGUCCUUACUGGCUGGAGUAUACAGUCUUGCAGGUGGCAAAGGUGGGGCAGGCGGCCUGAGCUCCUUGGUCCCCGACACUGUCUUUGUGGGGCCCUAUUUAAUAACCACAGAAAGUUAUGUCAAUGCCUGCGAUCCAGUUCCCUUGUCCUACUCCCAUUUUUCAGAUGGGAAAGCUGAGGCCGAGAGGAGGAAAGGGAAUUGCCCAAUAUUUAAGACAGUCUACCUUCUGGAAGUUAAUGGAAUCUUGCCUUCUUUUCUUAUUUAUUAUUAUUAUUUUUUUAACGGAGUCUCACUCUGUCUCACUCUGUCGCCAGGCUGGAGUGCAAUGGCACAAUCUUGGCUCACUGAAACCUCCGCCUCCCAGGUUCAAGUGAUUCUCCUGCCUCAGCCUCCCAGCCUGUAACUGGGACUACAGGCACGCACCACCACGCCCAGCUAAUUUUUGUAUUUUUAGUAGAGACGGGGUUUCACCAUGUUGGCCAGGAUGGUCUCAAUCUCUUGACCUCAUGAUCCACCUGCGUCAGCCUUCCAAAGUGCUGGGAUUACAGGCGUGAGCCACCGUGCCCAGCCGGAAUCCUGCCUUCUUAGUUUGGAGUGAUGGCUAAUAUUUGGUGAGUUGUCAGUGUGUGCUGGACCCUUGGCUACAUACAUGUCACAGUUUAAUCCCCGAAUGACUCUCUGAAGUGGGAAGGAGUAUUAUCCCUACUUUAUAGACAAGGCUUGGAGAGAUGAAGUGACUUGUCCAGAGUCAAGGAGCCAGCUAGAGCCAGAGCUGGAUGGAACCUCCAGGAAAUCUAUGGAGGAGGAAGAGGGGCUGUGAAAAAUGUCAACCUCCGAAAAGCAUCUGAGUGUGUGGUUUUUUUUAAUCAUCUUGCAACCAUAAGGAAAAUUCUUGGUGGCUAAAUCAUCCCCCGAGACAGCAUAAGAGAGGGGAACAGGCAUCCUAGAUCCUUCAGAUAUUGGCUUCAUUUCAGAACAUUCUUGGCUGGAAUGAAAAUGGCACAGAAGCCAGGGUCAGUCUGGUUCACAGGAAGGGCUCAGGAUGCGCAUGAGAGGCUGUUAGAAGCAGCUUGUCAUAGGCAGCAAAAUUAAAAAUAAAAUGUUAAAAAAAAAGAAGCAGCAGCAACAUCUCUUCUCUAAACAGAUCAAUUCUUGCUGGGAUGCCUCAAUGGUCUCAUUAUGCUUGGCUAACCACCCUAUGUUACUUACAGAGACCACUUGGUAUUUCCGAAGAAUUAAAACAUUCCUCCAG
rnacentral:lncRNA from 1 species